UAAGGAAUAUUGGUCAAUGGACGCAAGUCUGAACCAGCCAUGCCGCGUGAAGGAUGAAGGUCCUCUGGAUCGUAAACUUCUUUUAUCUGGGACGAAAACGGGAUUUUUAUCUCAAUUGACGGUACCAGAGGAAUAAGCACCGGCUAACUCCGUGCCAGCAGCCGCGGUAAUACGGAGGGUGCGAGCGUUAUCCGGAUUUACUGGGUUUAAAGGGUGCGUAGGUGGGCUUAUAAGUCAGUGGUGAAAUCUCCGAGCUUAACUUGGAAACUGCCGUUGAUACUAUAGGUCUUGAAUUAUCUGGAGGUAAGCGGAAUAUGUCAUGUAGCGGUGAAAUGCUUAGAUAUGACAUAGAACACCAAUUGCGAAGGCAGCUUACUACAUAUAAAUUGACGCUGAGGCACGAAAGCGUGGGGAUCAAACA
rnacentral:rRNA from 1 species